UACGUAGGGGGCAAGCGUUGUCCGGAAUCAUUGGGCGUAAAGAGCGUGUAGGCGGCUCGGUAAGUCCGCUGUGAAAAGUCCAGGGCUCAACCCUGGAAUGCCGGUGGAAACUGUCGAGCUAGAGUCCGGAAGAGGCGAGUGGAAUUCCUGGUGUAGCGGUGAAAAUGCGCAGAUAUCAGGAGGAACACCAAUGGCGAAGGCAGCUCGCUGGGACGGUACUGACGCUGAGACGCGAAAGCGUGGGGAGCAAACAGG
rnacentral:rRNA from 1 species